UACGAGAGGCCCAAACGUUAUUCGGAAUUACUGGGCUUAAAGAGUUCGUAGGCGGCGCAGAAAGUAGGGUGUGAAAGCCCUCGGCUCAACCGAGGAAUUGCGCUCUAAACUACUGUGCUUGAGGAACCUAGAGGUGAGCAGAACAGAUGGUGGAGCGGUGAAAUGCGUUGAUAUCAUCUGGAAUACCGGAGGCGAAGGCGGCUCACUGGGGGUUUUCUGACGCUGAGGCACGAAAGCGUGGGGAGCAAACAGG
rnacentral:rRNA from 1 species